UCCACAUCACUAGGCACCUGUAAGCUGCAGUGAGUCACAAUAUGCGGAUGGUGGAGGAGGGGGCAGGCCUCCUGUUCGUCUCCUGAAGCCAUGUGAGUGCCACCCGUGACCGCGAAGGUUCACAGCCGUACUGGCCAGGGCUCACUGAGGAAGCAGCGCCAAGGGCACAGGACUGACCACCGAAAGGAGCCCCGCCAACCCGUCCUCAAGGGCACUUGGACUUGAUGCUGGCCUUGAGCCCCAGUGUGCACCCCCCCACUCCCCCGCCAGCCUGCAUCCACGGAGUCUGAGCAGGGCCCACAGCUGUUGUGCCUCAGCAUGGAGCCAAGAGCUGAAAACAAAACAAAACCUCUGGAGGAAGAAGACAUGUUCUCUGGAUGCGGAAUGGGAGACCUUGGGGAGGUAUGCGUGUGCGGGGGAGGCCUCUGACUUGGGCCCAGGCAAAGGUCACGGUCAAUGGGAAAGCCCUGGAUGGGAGAGAGUCUAAGAUGGAGCCCAAGAAUGCCAUCAAGCAGCUGCCCGGGAUGGACGGGGACCCUCCGCCAGAUGGGGCCAGUUCUCCUGAUGUAAGGCUAACAGGCUGACGUCCUGGGAUGCCGAGCUCCCAGGGAGCGGACCGUGAUGCCCGAGGGAGCUCCAGUCGCCGGUGUCCUGUGUGGUCUCGCUGAGGGAAGCCAGGCAAAAAUCUGGCAACUGAGCUGUAACGGCCAGGCUCUUGGCUCCGAGCAACAGGAAGCAAUUCUGGUUUAUUUCAGCAGAAAAGGACUUUAUCAAAAGGGUCUCGGGGAGGUCACAAAAUAACCAGGAGGGCUGGAGGACUGGGUUUGGAAAGCGAGCCAAGCAAAGGAGGCUGCGCCGCUGUCAGGACCACGGCCAAAGUCAGGCCACUCCAGUGAGAGCCCCACCGCCAAGUCCAGGACCCCUCGGCUUACGCUGCCACCUCUGGACAUGGAUGUGGUCCCUGCCAGCCCAGGAAUGGAAUGUCAUUGCCGUGGUGACUGCCGCCCUCCACCAGAACGGACCUCUGUGCGCCCUGCAUCUCUGCAUCACCAGCUCCUGACUCUGAGUCUUUGACGGGGCAUCUGAUUGGCUGAGUGUGAGUCAGGAGCCCACGCGAACUGCAGUGGCAGCCGGGAAAGUGACAAGGUGGCAUUUUUCGAAUCUCUGGUGGGAGGCAACUAGGAUGAUGGGGGAUUUUUCAAAUAUGGUAAUGGGGUUGGAUGUGGGUCCACCUUAUACUUACCUCGCAUGGAAAAAUGUGGAACAGCUGUCCCUAGAGUGUGCCGGCAAACUGUAGUCCUCCAGGGACAGCCUGAGCCUGUCUUCCUGUCCCCCAGGUGCUGAUGGAAGUGUGUGUGCGUGUGCGUGUGCGCGCGCGUGCUCGGGUGUAAAGAUAGGAACAUGUUCCAUUCCAUGACGUGGGGUCAGGAACCCUGGGUUCGAUUCUGAGUCCCCUCUGCCUGUCAACCUUAGACAAGCUGUUCUAAGCCCUGGGUCUCAGUUCCAUGUCACAGCCUGCGGCUCAGCCUUUGAACGUGCAGAUGUGUGGUAGCUUCUGCUGUGGUCUGAGCCACUGGGCUGAAAGAUGCCUCUGCAGCCGCCAAAGCCCCAAAUAGAAUGAGGCCAUUGGUUCCGUGUGACGAAUGAGAGCACAGGUUUUGGAGUCAGAGAAGCGGGGGUUUACUGGCCAUGUGAUCUAGUAACAUCUUCCUUAACUUCUCCGAAACUUAGUUUCCUUACCUGCGAAAUGGAGUUGAGGUGGCGGGCGCCCAGCCUCCAUUCUAAUCUGGUCCUAUGGUGCCUUCAUGUUUGGCAGAGGCUGGGAGCCUAAACACCACAAUUCCCAGACACCUUUGCAGCUGGGGCUGCCCAUGAGAAUUCGGCUCUCAUCUAAUUAGAUUCUCAUCUAGAUUCACGCACGCUAGAGGCACUUGUGUGAGAUUAGGAAGGCAGUAGCGAGGAAGAGACUGCUACUCUGGCUGUUGCUGCUGGAGACACUGAGUGUGUGUGUGUGUGUGUGAGAGAGAGAGAGACAGUCAGACAGACAGACAGAGACAGAGAGAGAACAUUCUAGUGUUUGAUGGGGGGUUUGAGACGUGUUGUAGUGGCAGUGGCUCCCUGGAUGGCAACUGCACUGCUAUCUUUUUGAAAUCAGCAUCUCUGUGGCUGGCCCUCCCUCCCUCUGAUGACGGCGGAGGUGGCAGCAAUCUUGGCAGCCCAGUUCAGUGGUGUUACGGGAGUCUAGAGCCUGCUCCUCUGGCCCUGCCGAUGAUGUAAGCACCUAACUUCUUAUAUUAAAUCUCGUCUGGCUUAAAAUAGCUGGAGAGGUUUUCCGUUUCCUGCUGCUGAACCCUAACUGCUAUAGGAAUCACACUCCCCUGCUCACACAGUUGCUGGAAUGAGGCGAGAUGGCGGGUACUGUAAAGCCCUUUACACCUGUUAGAUGUUUUUCAAGGAAGGGUGUCCCUUUCGUCUGGGGAGACUAAAGCCGAGAGAAACCCUUGUGAUGAGUCACUCCAAAGCCUAUAGGCCCCCAGUCGGUUCUUUUGCCUUGAACUGUUGGGCAGAAGACAGCUUGAAAGAAUUCAGGUAAUUUGAGUGGGUCACCUGCUCGGAGAGGCCAAAAAGGUUCUCCUGUGGAUUCAGGAGGAAUCUUGCCUCUUUGCCCACCGUUAGAGCAAUGACUGGCCCCGCAGUGGUGCCAUGGUGGCUGGGAAAGGUGGCAGGCAUCCGGGUGUGAGCCUGAAAAGUCAGCUACUGUGGGACUCUGCCCUACACGUGCCUGGGUUCCCCAUUGAACCCACUGGUCUGUGUUAAAGCCCACCGCAAUUCCUUACCCCUCCCAGUUAAAUCUUUGGCUUUCCAAAACCUCCCCCCUCCUCCCAUCACGUUUGAAGGCUCUCCCUUCCUGCGGUGAAGGACAUUCUCCGGGCCAUGGCACUGGCCCCUAUUUGCUGCCACAAAAUGAGAGCUCCCUGUGGGGUGAGCGCCCAGGCGGGUGGCCCUGGGGCCAUGAAGCCUCGUAGAAGCUGGGCUGGGCUUGGCUGCCAGAACAAUCCAGGCUCCACUCCAACCCAUCAGGGGGCUUGAGGCUGAGUGGGCAAGAUAAACUGUUUCAGUGGUUUUCAGGAGCCCUAAUCAAUUUCGAGGCAGGGCGAAGCCCUCAGGGACAGAUAAAGCCAGCCCUGCGCUCCAAGCCCAGUUGGAGCCGAUGUUUGUGUGGUUUGAACUUUUGAGUGGUUUGGGCGAGUCCACCCGGCUUUGCUGGGGUGGUUUACUCUGUUCCCGAACUGCAGUACAGUGAGGCCAACGGCCCUGGACCCCUGGUGAAAUUAUUAUUAUACGUAUUUUUUAGGGCCGUACCCAUGGCACAUCGAGG